UACAGAGGUCUCAAGCGUUGUUCGGAUUCAUUGGGCGUAAAGGGUGCGUAGGCGGCGCGGUAAGUCGGGUGUGAAAUCUCGGAGCUUAACUCCGAAACUGCAUUCGAUACUGCCGUGCUUGAGGACUGGAGAGGAGACUGGAAUUUACGGUGUAGCGGUGAAAUGCGUAGAUAUCGUAAGGGAAGACCAGUGGCGAAGGCGGGUCUCUGGACAGUUCCUGACGCUGAGGCACGAAGGUCAGGGGAGCAAACGGG
rnacentral:rRNA from 1 species